AUAACUGGCUGUAGAGUUAUUGUUUUUGCCUUUUGGAAGCUUCCACCUUGUGACGGGAAGAGCACUGUCAGCCCAACACAGAAACUCUGCCGCCUGGAGUCACGUGGAUCCAGAUGCGAAGGGACUCCAACGUCAUGCUAAGGAGUUUGGGUAGCCAUCCUGUGACCCUGGAAGAAACCAGCCCAAGGAAGGUGCUAACCUACAGAAGAAGGACAUGGCCAGGGUAAUCACAUAGACCCGGAGUUGAAGCCCUGACUGCACCACACCCGAAGCCUCCCCACCUUUCAACCUCUCGGUGAUGGUGAACCAAUAAACUCUUUUUAUUGUUCAAGCCAGUGUGAGUUAGGUUCGCUAUAAUUUGCUGCAGAAAGUCUCCUGAGUGAUUCAGAUGCCUGUUGGUGCUCCUGGAAUUGCAUCCAGAUGCCCUACCUUAGUAUUAAAGUCUCACUCAACUCUAAGAUCAAUGAGUGGGGAGGGUGAGGGCUAGAUUUUCAUUGACCCUGGUGUUGCCAGCCCCUGCUGGACAUCAAUCUGGCACAAAGCAGACAAUGUUAAUUUUUUUUUCCUUGAAGGAGUAAACCCAGGUCUCUCUCCAGUGUCUUAUCAGCCUCCCAAAGGCGGGGAAUCCCACUGGGGUCCCUGAUCACCUUCCAGAGCCACCUCUCUGCAAUCAGCUGCAUUUUGCUAGAAUCGGCCUUGCUGUCCACCUUCCCCAUCAGCGUCCUCAUGGAGACCACCAUGAGGGAGGGGCCAGCGGGUCUGAACUUGAGGCUAUGUCUAGCAGUGUGUCUGAGCUCCAGGUACCCAGGAGGGGGCCAUGGCCGAGUGAUGCCCAGGGCACAGGAUGGUGCAAGCAAGAUGUAAACAAGAUGCAAACAAGAUGGUGCAAGGAGAUGCAAACAAGAUGUUUGCAAGGAGAUGUUUGCAACAAGAUGUUUGCAAAGAGAUGUUUGCAACAAGAUGUUUGCAAGGAGAUGCAAACGAGAUGGUGCAAGGAGAGCCUCCAAAACAGCCUGGAAUUCACACAAGUAAAUGGGAGGGGCCUCAGAGCCACUGUGAUUUGGGCAGCAAUAAGUAUGACCAGCAGGGUGACCAGUGGACCAUGAGAAACAUCCACAUGUGGGUCCAAAGAACAUUGCAUUCCUUUGUUUAUCUAACCCACAUCCUCCUUCGUGUCUUAGGGCCUUUGCACUGCCCUUUCCUUGGACUGAUUACCCAGUUACUCUACCUCAUGACCAACCUCUGUCUUAAUUCUCUGCAGAGUGCUUAUCAAUGGCUGAUUGCAUUUGUUUGCUUUUGUUUCUCUGUCCAUGACAGCAAGGACCUUGAUUGUCUUAUUUAUCACUACUUCUCUCAUAUCAAAAAUCCCUCCAUAGUCCUGGCUCAGCAGCUCUUGCCUAUAAUCCCAGCACUUUGGGAGGCUGGGAAAGGAGGAUUGCUUGAGGCUAGGAGUUUGAGACCAGCAACAUAGCAAGACCCCAUUAAAAUAAAAUAAAAUAAAAAUUAGCCAGGUGAGGUGAUGUGUGUCUGUAGUCCCAGCUACUGAGUGGGGCUGGGGUGGGAAAACCACUAGAGCCUGGGAGGUUGAGGCUGCAGUAAGCCCUGAUCACAACGCUGCAUUCCAGCCUGGGUGACAAAGCGAGACCCUAUCCCCCCCACCAACAAAAAACAAACAAAAAUAAAAACUCCCCCUAUAAACACACAUUAAAUAAAUGAACAGCCCUGCCCCCUCCCACUCAGAGGCCCACCCCCUUCAAUUGCGAACUUGGUCCCAUCAGUCAGGUACCAUUCAGAUGUGAUCUCCACACAGGGGCCUCCACCUCCCUCAUCCCGAGUAAUCCCUCCUCCCCCAACUCACUUAUUUCCUUCAUGCCCUUUAUGGCAAUAUAAAAUUAUCUCAUGUAUUUGUGUUUACUUGUUCGUUAUCUGCUUUCUCCUGUGAAUGUAAACUAUAUCUUUCCUUGUCCCAGGGGAGAUCACUUCCAGACUUUAAGUAGGUGCUCAAUAACCUUUUGUGGCCGGAAUAAACAGCAAGGGAGAAAAUGAAUCUCCAGGGCUCUGGAAACAGUGGGCAUAAGAAGAUAAAGAAAGAAUCCUAGUUGAUUUCAGAGUAAUUCUGUGAGGUAAACAGGGUGGUUUUUUCUACCAUGGCUGUUGAGAGAUGAGGAAGGCAAAGUUUACAAUGUUGUGACCUCAUCAAAAUAGCUUGUCUGGUGAAGUGCACAUUUGAACUUGAGUCUGAUUCCUUUUCCAGUUCCUUUUCUUCUGAAUCAUGCAGCUUUCCUGUUCAAACUCAUCUGCAUAGAUACUAAAAGUAUCAGCAAUCUCCUCUCUGCAAAUCGCUCCAAAUUCUCGCAAGGUGGAGCCCGGCUGUUUGAGAAGCC
rnacentral:lncRNA from 1 species